rnacentral:lncRNA from 12 species
ACAUUUAUACCAUAAUACCAUAUUUAAAAUAAUUCUAAAGCUAUUUAAAGUAAUUCAAUAUGGUAUAAAUAAAAAUGAGGCUGUACAAUAAUGAUGGCGUCGGAUUAAAACCAAAGGAGAAAAAUUCCUCGUGAGUCCGUAUUGAUAUCAAUAAAUAAUUGGGUGGAUAAAGGGGGAAUAGAGACAGCUCUUCCGGGCAACGUCCUCCGUCGACCCGCGCGGGUGACGUCAAGGCAGAGUGAGGUGUGGGCGCGGGACAUGGACGUCUGAGGCUGGAACCCGCUCCAACCCCCGCCCAGACAGAGGGGCUACACCGCCGCUCAGCCCCAAAAGUCGGGGAUCAUCGGACCUGUCUGCACCGUCCGCGGCGGGGCGGAGCCCACAGGGACGCACACAUCCGGGUCCCGGCGCGCGCACGCGCACCCGCUGCAAAUGGCCGCCGCCUCUGGUCCAAUCGCCUGCCCGCCAGAGGUCCCCGGCCCUGCCGCUGGGGCGAAUUCCGGGUCCACCCUAUUCUGCCGAAUAGUAAUGGACCGCUGUCGGUGGGUCUCAGACUAGAGUGGCCGCGUGGCGCCGGGAAACUGCCAUUUCCCACAGGUGGUAAGACCCCGCAGGUGGCAGAUCCCUCGUUCUUCCCUCCACCUGCUAGCUGUAAAAUCAUCUAUUUUCCCACCUGUUUUUUUAGUGGCCGUUUCAUUUUCCUCUCCCUUGGUAUAGUGGUUCUUUUUUUUCAACUCCUCUCCUGCUAAUAGUUUAUGGAAAAAAUUUUCGUACAUAUAGGGGAGGCAAUACUUGUGCGACCUUAAGCCUACCCGCUAACAUUUGCUAUACAUGCUGCCUCUUAUAUAUUUUCCUUCAUCCUUUCAACCAUACGUUAAUCUUUUGAGGGGAACAUUUAAGAAAGUUCCAGGUAUUACGAAGCUCCCCCCUCAAACAUCUCAUUAUUGCCCUUUGAAAAAAUUUUUUUAAAGAUUUUAUUUAUUCAUGAGAGACAGAGGCAGAGACCUAGGCAGAGGGAGAAGCAGGGCCGCGCAUGGAGCCUGAUGCGGUACUCCAUCCCAGGACCGCAGGACCCCGCCCUGAAUCAAAGGCAGAGGCUAAACCGCUGAGCCACCCAGGCGUCCUGCUUUUUUAAAUUUUUGAGGCAAAAUUGACACAAUGAAAUGGGGAAAUGCAUAGAUCUUCACUGUACCACUGGGAGAGUUUUUACAAGUACAACCCAAUUCUUUAUCAAAAUUACCAUCACCCCAGAAAAGUUUAUUAUCCUUUGCCAAUAAAAAAAAAAGUUGGGGGGGUGUCUGGGUGGCU